rnacentral:rRNA from 1 species
AAUCUCAGUUCAGAUUGCAGGCUGCAACUCGCCUGCAUGAAGUCGGAAUUGCUAGUAAUCGUAGGUCAGCAUACUACGGUGAAUACGUUCCCGGGCCUUGUACACACCGCCCGUCAAACCAUGAGAGUUGGCAACACCCGAAGUCGGUAGUCUAACCGCAAGGAGGACGCCGCCGAAGGUGGGGUUGAUGAUUAGGGUUAAGUCGUAACAAGGUAAC